UGCAAAUACCAUUUUUUCACAAAGAGGAGACCAUUGUACAAAUACUGUGCUGUUCUGCUUCAUCAGUGAUCAAGAUUUUUUCAAGUGUAGUCUCUGGUUUGGAUUUGUGUAAACAUUGAACUGGAAAGGGAGUCCAAUGCGAUUAUGCAACUACCUGGAACACAACAGCUCCCUCCUGUGCAGACGGACUCAAAGGCUGAGUCUGGGUAAUGAGACAGCACUGAAGAUAAGAUGCUGCUCAGUUUUUCCAAAAUGAGAGAAGAAACAGAGAGAUUGUUUGUGAGAGAGAGACGUCCAUAUCAGCCCCUGUGAUACAAACUUGUUCCAGCUAUGAUAUUGGAUUAUAACUGCCAUGGUGAGCUGCCACAAAGUCCAUCAGCAUUCUGGGAAAGGUGUUUUGGGCUCGUGCAUUAGAUCUAAUGAAGUUUACUCUUGCACUGUAUUACACCUUGCAGAUAAUCCUAUCAGGUCAAUGGAUUUCAACUGGCAUAUCUCUGAUGUGUGGAGGAAACAGCCACAGGGAUUCCCAAAAAGCAGCUAAGGAAAUCCAACCCGUUGCGAGUCUGCUUGUUCGCUAGACAGGGAUGCACAUCCCCACUGGAAGGCUGAAAAAGACUUUGAAAACUACUAAUCUCAGUUAAUAAAAAUUCAUUAUUGCAAAUAAAGCAGCACUGGCUUUCUUUAAGCAUGAGAAAUGCU